rnacentral:misc_RNA from 1 species
UUUAUUUAUUUAUUUAUUUAUUGGUCAAAAGAUGGAAUAACUUACUUUGCAAAUCUACAAAUGGAGUUCGUUGCAUACAAAAGAAGAUUGGGUCAUAACAUUAACCCAAAAAGAUGCAUCAUGAAGAGCUUUAGAGGCCAAUUGAUGAGCCACCCUAUUACGUGAUCUUGGAACAAACCAGAAUAAACAUGUUGACACCCUUUAGCAAGCUGUUGAAUGUCUACUACUAUUGCAUGAAUACUUUGAGGAAUACUUCCCCCAUUAAAGCACUGAAUGACAUUUUUGGCAUCUCCUUCAAUAAUUACCCUAUGGAAGCCCGUCUUUAGCAAUGGAAAUAGCCUCUUGACACGCAAGACUUUCAAGAACAAGAUAAAGAAUGAUCGUACAGCCGCAGGCUAAAACUCUACCUCGAAAGUCUAACAAUGGCUCCUACUGCUCCCAUUCUUUGCUUGUUAUUGACAGCUGCAUCAAAAUUGAUCUUAAUGACUUCGUUGAGAGGAGGUUGCCAUUCUUGUUGUGAAUCAGACCUAUGUUGGGGCAUCAAAGGAAUUGAUUGAGUUGUAUCAUAAUCUUCACGAUGCUUAAUUGUUGCAUCUAUAAUAUAUUGAUGGUGAAGUCUCUAGUUUCGAAAAGUCAAGGCAUUCCUGCUCUUCCAUAUUUGCCAAAGCAAGAACAACACUAGAUUAAGGAGAUCCAACCUGUUUGCUACUUAGUGAUGCCAUCUUUAAUUUCCAGCUAGCAAUCCAUCAUACAAGAUCCUGUAAUCUAUGUGGAACACAUUCAAAACGGGGAAUUAAUCCAAAUCUCAGCUGCUCUUGGACAAAGAAAAAAUAUGUAAGAAGUAUGUUG